rnacentral:tRNA from 1 species
GCCUAUAGCUCAGCGGUUAGAGCGCCACGCUUAUAACGUGGAUGUCGAUGGUUCGAUUCCAUCUAGGCCC